GAUGAACGCUGGCGGCGUGCUUAACACAUGCAAGUCGAACGAAGCACUUUGGUUUCUUCGGAAAGAUGAGUGACUGAGUGGCGGACGGGUGAGUAACGCGUGGGUAACCUGCCUCAUACAGGGGGAUAACAGUUGGAAACGACUGCUAAUACCGCAUAAGCGCACAGUACCGCAUGGUACAGUGUGAAAAACUCCGGUGGUAUGAGAUGGACCCGCGUCUGAUUAGCUAGUUGGUGAGGUAACGGCCCACCAAGGCGACGACCAGUAGCCGACCUUAGAGGGUGACCGGCCACAUUGGGACUGAGACACGGCCCAAACUCCUACGGGAGGCAGCAGUGGGGAAUAUUGCACAAUGGGCGAAAGCCUGAUGCAGCGACGCCGCGUGAGCGAAGAAGUAUUUCGGUAUGUAAAGCUCUAUCAGCAGGGAAGAUAAUGACGGUACCUGACUAAGAAGCCCCGGCUAACUACGUGCCAGCAGCCGCAGUAACAC
rnacentral:rRNA from 1 species